UACGUAGGGUGCAAGCGUUGUCCGGAAUUAUUGGGCGUAAAGAGCUUGUAGGCGGUUUGUCGCGUCGGAUGUGAAACCCCGGGGCUUAACCCCGGGCCUGCAUUCGAUACGGGCUGACUAGAGUUCGGCAGGGGAGACUGGAAUUCCUGGUGUAGCGGUGAAAUGCGCAGAUAUCAGGAGGAACACCGGUGGCGAAGGCGGGUCUCUGGGCCGAUACUGACGCUGAGGAGCGAAAGCGUGGGGAGCGAACAGG
rnacentral:rRNA from 1 species